rnacentral:rRNA from 1 species
UACGAAGGGGGCUAGCGUUGCUCGGAGUUACUGGGCGUAAAGCGCACGUAGGCGGAUUGUUAAGUCGGGGGUGAAACCCUGGAGCUCAACUCCAGAACUGCCUUCGAUACUGGCGAUCUCGAGUUCGGGAGAGGUGAGUGGAACUGCGAGUGUAGAGGUGAAAUUCGUAGAUAUUCGCAAGAACACCAGUGGCGAAGGCGGCUCACUGGCCCGAUACUGACGCUGAGGUGCGAAAGCGUGGGGAGCAAACAGG